CGAAGGGAACUGUUCCUUUGGUAAAUAUGAUCAACAACUUGAUACAAGAUAAAGAAUAAGUUUUUUUUUCCUUCUAAUCUGCUCUGUAUGUUACUUGUGUUGUGAGCUUCCAGCUGUAGUGUUUUUUUUUUCCCCUACUGAUAUUAUAGAUUUUCAUUCAGUAUAUAUAUAUUGGUUUGAUUCCUAUUAUUCUUUGCUUACUUUUGGGAUUAUUUUCCAUAUACUUGGAUUGUAUAUUGCUUUAUGAGGAAAAAUAUCCGUUCGUCUUUGCUGGUUAAUUAUUAUCUUUUUAAAGAAUCUCACACUUCUGCUGCUGCAUUAGAGAAUGCUUGGUCUAAUUCUAUCAAGGGCUUGUCUCAGAAUUCAUGUUAGGCCUAACUCUACCCCAAAAGUUAGGUUAUCAAAGCUUAUCUAAGAUUUGUUUAUUGGGCCAUCCAUAAUUGAGCAAUCAGCAGAUGUCCACUCAUGCAAACUUAAAGUUUCAGACGUCCAGCUCUACACGUGAGGGGUGUCAAAGUCUCACAUUGACUGGAGAUAUAGCCAAAAUAGUUCUUAUAUGGGCAGCGCAAUCCUCACUCCUGAGGCAGCUUUUGAGGUUGAGUUAGCCUUAACCCGAAUUUUAAGCCAGUCAGUUUUAUCAACAUCUUAUUCCACUCUGUAUCUGCUAGUUCAUGGUUUUUCUUUCAAAUCAUUCAUUUUAUUUUGACCUCUAAGUUUGAGGUGCGAAUGAAUUCAACAACCUUUCACGGAGACAAAUUUUAUUUCUGAACUCAGGCACCAUGUCAGUUGUGAAUCAUGCAAUAACAUGUUUUAGAUGAUGCAGUGCCUGAGGUAUCUCAGUGCAUGAAUCUUUUCACCAGCUAGAGGCGAAUAGCAGGCUCUUGCAUUGCAGUCAACAAGGAAAGGAGGGUCCAAAGGAGUUGAAAUGGGUUAUUACACAACUAGAAAACUCAACACAACUGAAAGUGAAGUUACUUCUAAACUAAAUAAAUAAAUCCUGAAUUAUUGUGCUUUAUUCAUUCUUGAAUUUUAAAUAAUUAAGAUUACAAUGUAUUAAAAUAUUGAGUAACCGGACUUGAGUUCAAUGGCAAGGUCAGUGGUCAGGCAUUAAUGUUCAGGAAUGCUUUUCGUAAGAGAAGAAGUAAUCAUUUUUUUUUUAUCCAAAGAACUCUUAGAAUUUAAAAAGCUGACAGCAAACUAUUUUUACCUCAGGAUAAAAUUAUGAAAACGUGAAAAAAAAUUGAAGCAUACUACAGAUGAACUUUGUGUCUGCUGUUUCAUAUUAGUACCUAGAUAUUCUUGCUUUCAAUUGGAAGCAUUUAACUUAAAUAUCUGAUUUGAUUAAUUGAAUGUGGAACCUUUAUGACUUUCAGAUGUAUCAUGAUUGGCAUUUAAAUAAAAUAGAAGCCCAGACUGAUCAGAAAUCAAAUGCACUCAAACACGGAUGCAUUAGUGUGUGCAUGUUAAAGAUGAAUCCAAAGAAAAGGUACUUUUAUGCUUGCUGAGAAUAGUUAACACUGUUUGGAUUGUUGCAAGAAAGAAUCCAAAGAAAAGGUACUUUUAUGUUUGCUGAUAAUAGUUUUACUGUGUUUCGGUUAUUGCAAGAAACGUCAAAGAAGCUCCAAUCAUCCGUUGGCGAUACAUUCAACCCAACACCAAAUCAAACACAGCUUACUCCUUGCAUGAUUUUUGUCUCAUAAUUUGUAUCCUAACGAAUCAUCAGAAUUCAUUAUAACCCAUUAUAAUGGUUUUCCAAACAUACAUUUAGUGGUCAAGGGUUCUUUUAUUACUUCUCUUCUGUAAAAAAAACAUCAACCCUAGACAUGCUUGUUCUUGACUAUCAUAUGCUGUGCUAAUUGGCCAAACCCUUCAUACUAGUAGCAUUUUUUCUCUAAAAAAAUGAAAGACAGUUGCUAUAGCCAAACAUUCUAGCAGGAUUUAUCCAUCUCAAAGAAGAGCCCAAAUUCGCAUAAUAUUUAAAAAAAAAUAGAGUUCUACUGAAAUCAACACUUAAUAAAGUGGAAUCCUCAUCUGGAUCUAGGAAAGCUCUCGGCUACGCUUAGCAGCAGCAACAACAGCAUUCAUAAGUGUUGCACGGAACCCACCUUUUUCCAACUCAUGAACGCCAGCAAUUGUUGUCCCACCAGGAGAAGUAACAUCAUCCUUGAGCUGCCCUGGGUGCUUCCCAGUUUGGGUGACCAUUGAUGCUGCUCCUAGUACCUGGAAAACACAAAUCAAGAGAACAGUUAAAAGAACAAGUUUUUCCAAAUGUAUGUAAGGUAUCCAGAUUUUUCCCCCAACAACAUCAUGUCCACUGAGAAUCUCGCUGCCAUAUUCAAGCAGCAGCAAUUUUAUUAACCGUCUAACCUUAUUUAUGUUUUCGGUCUUCUUUGGAGUACUAGUAUAUGCUUAUCUUUUGCAGUCAAGUCUAAAAGAUACAUCUAUACAAUUUGGUUGCACUGUAGUAAUAACUAGCGUUUCUGCGAUCAGUUGGAUGAAGAUAAUAUAAACUAGAUGGUUUAGAUUGAUUUGACUGGUUACUUGCUCAAUCUGGCCAGUAUACACAGCAACAUAGCUGACACUUAGUGAAUCCCUUAAAUCAAAUUCCAGGUUCAUAGUAGGAAACCCUUAUCUAGUAUAGAUUGAGUUGUGUUUACCGGACUUAUAAACAGCACAGCUAAUAAUAUCAUUAGAAACAUUUAAUCCACAAAAGUAUGAAACUGAAACAUAUGAUUUUCUUAACAAAAUGGAUAACAUUGGAGUAUAAGACAAUGCAAGAAAAAGCAUCAGAUGAAUAGUAAACACUCAGAAAAAUAAAGGAUGAAAUACCCUUGUUAAAUAGUUAAAUGACAGUAUUUCACUUCACUUACAGUCUGAGAAGCUAGACUUAAUGCAAGAUCACGUGGUAAGCCAGCAGCUACUCCUCCAUCAGCCAAAGCCUCUACUGCUAAAUAAACAUAAGCAGGACCACUGCCACUGAACAAUUUAAGAGAAGUAGAAGAAAGUUUAGUAAAUAAAUCAAAGUUCUUUUCCAACUAGACAUGUAUGCAGAGAGUAUAUAUGCUUGUAUAAUUUCGGGGCUUUCAGGGAUGGUGCAGUAUAGCUAUUGUCAGAACUCAGAACUUAGAAGCUACCACAAGACAAUCUAAAAAGUAGGGGCAAGGUUCACGAAUCACUAGAACAGUUGAGGUUGAAUCAAUUUACAAUGGUAAUUGGGAUUGAAUGUAUAGGCAUUACAAAAAGAAGGAUAGUUGGACAGGUGCGGAGUUUAGAGUAGAGGCCAGAGUUUAGUACCCAUGUUCACACACAACUAAAACAGAAAAGGACAAUUAUCACCCAGCAGAAAAUUCAGAUUCUAGACAUAUUUUGUUCUCACAAAUGUAAAGAGCUUAGAAUUGUACGGGCAUAUUGUGACUUGAACCUUCUUAUCCUGUCCUUGUACUAGUAUCAUAUCUUAGUAUGUUACCUCUAAGAAACUUUCAGUUCAUCAAAGAUAAAAUGGAAUUUCUUGAGCAUUGCUUAGAUAAUAUCCAGAUAGAACUCUAUCGUUGUAGAAAAUGAUCUACAUACCUCAGGCCAGUUAUUGCAUCAAAAUACUUUUCAUCAGCUUUCCAUAUUUUCCCGAUUGAGCCAAAUAAUUUGUUUAUAAGAUUUCCAUCUUCUUCUGUAGCAGCUGCCCCCAAGCUCAUAACUGUGAUAGUUUAUCUUAAGUUAAUCUAUGCAUGCAACUUUAUAACUGUCAAAUAUGCAACUUGAUAAAGAAAUAGUUGCUGUAAGCAAUAACCAUUGUUUCCUAGAAAAGAAUACAAAAUACAGAAUUCCCAUAAUUAAUAGAAGGCAUGAAAGAAGCAAUAACUUGUAAUUUAUGAAAGAAGGCCCUCAUAUAGUUGAGAAUGUUAAACCCAUGCAAUUCAUGCAUCUAAGACCAAAUGAUCAAACUUUAAUAAAUGAUCAAACUCUAAGAAAAAAAAAGGAAGAAAGAAAUGCUGAGACUAAAUGAUCAAACUUUAAUAAAUAUACAUCUAAGAGACUACAUUUUGGGAGCUGUAAAACCCACUCUCCAUGAAAUUGAAGAACAAGGUGACUAACAAAAACUAUUUUAGUCAUUCUCAUUCAUGAGUAACAUCCAACAUCUUACAGUCAUAAUGAAUAUUCUGAAACCAAUAAGACUGCUAACUGUAACUAACGACUUAGAAUUAAGAAAGUCAAUUAUGGAACUGCCAAGUUAUACAAAACAAGUCACAUAGCACCCAUUCUAAACUCUCAACACAGAGAAAAAAACUUGAAGAACAGAACACAAUAUGCUCUAAGACAUAGUUAUAAAAAGGCAAUACCUGACGCUGCCUCGCCAACAGCAGCAGGUGUAUUAGGCAUCACCCUUAUAAAUCUGUUGUGACCAGCCCAUUCCUACAUUUACAGAAACAACCAUUUCCAUAAAAAUAUCCAACCUAAUUAAAUCUGCAAGGCUAAAGAAACGGAAAGUAACUAAAAACUACUUCCACAAACCAUGUAAUAUAUGGGAUUUAAAAUACUCUAAAGUGAGGGUUAUAUUUACAAUACAAAAUGCAAGUUGAUUCAAACCCAGUUCACAUUAACUUUUUACUAACAAACACUUGAAUGAAAACAAAAAAAUUGAAAUAAUCUUGUAAUCAAGAUAAAAUUUCUAAUAAUAGAUUCUGCUUGAGUUCAAAUCAGCUUGUGCACCUCCACUUUUUCAAGAUUUCCUUCAUCUAACUCCUCCACAACUAACUAUAAACUUAAAUAGACUUAGUGCAUGUUUGGACCACGGUGAGUUAAAAUCACAGUAGACAGAAGCAACUUCUCUUGACUUUUGUAACUGUAUACCGUGAUUUUGACUUUCCUCGUGUAUCCAAACAUGCACUUAUUUACCUGUUUAAAACCAAAUACUUAGCCAUAAGAAGCAAUUCAGAAUUUUCCUUCAGCUUCUUUUUUUAUUUGCCAAUAAUCAUAUUAACAAUAACAAUUAACAAGCCAUGUAAAAGUGCAGAUAUUCAGAAUAAGAAAACAGCUGUGUUGUGUAACCUGAAGAUCUUUCAACUUGACUCCAGCAGCAACAGAGACCAAAAGCUUGUUCUUCGUCAAGAGCGGCUUCAACUUCAACACCGCAUCUUUCACUGCAACAAACACAAACUCUUCAAUGAAAAACGAAUCUAGAGCAAGCCGAAAUCGACAUUGAGAUCGUGUGGCAAUACCUA
rnacentral:lncRNA from 1 species